CACGUAGGGCGCAAGCGUUGUCCGGAAUUAUUGGGCGUAAAGAGCUCGUAGGCGGUCUGUUGCGUCCGCUGUGAAAACCCAGGGCUUAACCCUGGGCUGGCAGUGGAUACGGACAGACUAGAGGUAGGUAGGGGAGAAUGGAAUUCCCGGUGUAGCGGUGAAAUGCGUAGAUAUUGGGAGGAACACCAGUGGCGAAGGCGGCUCACUGGACUGGUACUGACGCUGAGGCGCGAAAGCGUGGGGAGCAAACAGG
rnacentral:rRNA from 1 species